GACGAACGCUGGCGGCGUGCUUAACACAUGCAAGUCGAACGGAAAGGCCCUGCUCUUGUUGGGUGCUCGAGUGGCGAACGGGUGUGUAACACGUGAGUAACCUGCCCCUGACUUUGGGAUAACUUCAGGAAACUGGGGCUAAUACCGGAUAGGAGCUCCUGCUGCACGGUGGGGGUUGGAAAGUUUCGGCGGUUGGGGAUGGACUCGCGGCUUAUCAGCUUGUUGGGGAGGUAGUUGCUUACCAAGGCUUUGACGGGUAGCCGGCCUGAGAGGGUGACCGGCCACAUUGGGACUGAGAUACGGCCCAGACUCCUACGGGAGGCAGCAGUGGGGAAUAUUGCACAAUGGGCGGAAGCCUGAUGCAGCAACGCCGCGUGCGGGAUGACGGCCUUCGGGUUGUAAACCGCUUUCGCCUGUGACGAAGCGUGAGUGACGGUAAUGGGUAAAGAAGCACCGGCUAACUACGUG
rnacentral:rRNA from 1 species